rnacentral:rRNA from 1 species
AUUGAACGCUGGCGGCAGGCCUAACACAUGCAAGUCGAGCGGAUGAUGGGAGCUUGCUCCUGGAUUCAGCGGCGGACGGGUGAGUAAUGCCUAGGAAUCUGCCUGGUAGUGGGGGACAACGUUUCGAAAGGAACGCUAAUACCGCAUACGUCCUACGAGAGAAAGCAGGGGAACUUCGGGCCUUGCGCUAUCAGAUGAGCCUAGGUCGGAUUAGCUAGUAGGUGAGGUAAAGGCUCACCUAGGCGACGAUCCGUAGCUGGCCUGAGAGGAUGAUCAGUCACACUGGAACUGAGACACGGUCCAGACUCCUACGGGAGGCAGCAGUGGGGAAUAUUGGACAAUGGGCGAAAGCCUGAUCCAGCCAUGCCGCGUGUGUGAAGAAGGUCUUCGGAUUGUAAAGCACUUUAAGUUGGGAGGAAGGGCUGUAAGUUAAUACCUUGCUGUUUUGACGUUACCGACAGAAUAAGCACCGGCUAACUUCGUGCCAGCCGCCGCCGUAAUAC